CUAGGUUUUGGUACGAGGUUGAGACUCGUAGCAGAUAGCUCAGUAACACGUGGCCAAACUACCCUAUCGAGCACGAUACUCUCGGGAAACUGAGGCUAAUAGUGCAUACGAUUCGGUGUCUGGAGUGACCCGAGUCAGAAAUGCUCAGGCGCGAUAGGAUGUGGCUGCGGCCGAUUAGGUAGACGGUGGGGUAACGGCCCACCGUGCCAAUAAUCGGUACGGGUUGUGAGAGCAAGAGCCCGGAGACGGUAUCUGAGACAAGAUACCGGGCCCUACGGGGCGCAGCAGGCGCGAAACCUUUACACUGCACGCGAGUGCGAUAAGGGGACUCCAAGUGCGAGGGCAUAUAGUCCUCGCUUUUUCCGACCGUAGGAUGGUCGGCGAAUAAGUGCUGGGCAAGACCGGUGCCAGCCGCCGCGGUAAUACCGGCAGCACGAGUGAUGACCGCUAUUAUUGGGCCUAAAGCGUCCGUAGCUGGCCACGCAAGUCCAUCGGGAAAUCUCUCCGCUCAACGGAGAGGCGUCCGGUGGAAACUGUGUGGCUUGGGACCGGAAGAUCCAGAGGGUACGUCUGGGGUAGGAGUGAAAUCCCGUAAUCCGA
rnacentral:rRNA from 1 species